rnacentral:misc_RNA from 1 species
GAUGAAGAACGCAGCGAAAUGCGAUAAGUAAUGUGAAUUGCAGAAUUCAGUGAAUCAUCGAAUCUUUGAACGCACAUUGCGCCCCUUGGUAUUCCGAGGGGCAUGCCUGUUCGAGCGUCAUUAUAACCCCUCAAGCUCAGCUUGGUGUUGGGGACUGCUGCACUGGCAGCCCUUAAAAUCAGUGGCGGCGCCAUCUGGCUCUAAGCGUAGUAAUUCUUCUCGCUAUGGAGUCCUGGUGGAUGCUUGCCAUCAACCCCCAAUUUUUCUAUGGUUGACCUCGGAUCAGGUAGGGAUACCCGCUGAACUUAAGCAUAUCAAUAAGCGGAGGA